AGCGAACGCUGGCGGCAGGCCUAACACAUGCAAGUCGAACGAAGCCUUCGGGCUUAGUGGCGGACGGGUGAGUAACACGUGGGAACGUACCUUUUGGUUCGGAAUAACGCAGAGAAAUUUGCGCUAAUACCGGAUGAGCCCUUCGGGGGAAAGAUUUAUCGCCGAAAGAUCGGCCCGCGUUGGAUUAGGUAGUUGGUGUGGUAAAGGCGCACCAAGCCUGCGAUCCAUAGCUGGUCUGAGAGGAUGAUCAGCCACGCUGGGACUGAGACACGGCCCAGACUCCUACGGGAGGCAGCAGUGGGGAAUCUUGCGCAAUGGGCGAAAGCCUGACGCAGCCAUGCCGCGUGAAUGAUGAAGGUCUUAGGAUUGUAAAAUUCUUUUACCAGGGACGAUAAUGACGGUACCUGGAGAAAAAGCCCCGGCUAACUUCGUGCCAGCCGCCGCUGUAAAAC
rnacentral:rRNA from 1 species